UAAUACUGAAUCAUUCAUACUGAGGUGGUUUCCGCCACUAUUACUCAAGUGAUAUUCUCUUUCAGGAAUGACUUCUGAGUUAACUCUUGAUUCUGAGCCAAUGAGCUCAGAAUCCAUUCUGACCACCAGCACUAUCUGGGCAAUAAAAUUUAACCUUGGAAAUCCUGCUUUCCUCCCAAAUUUCCAGAUCAGCAAGAUUCUUGGACAUGGUUUUUCCCUUAGGAAUGUGCUUGGUUGAGUUCCAACAUCUGCUAGGAGAUCAGACAUGCAGUUAGAAUCAAGGUAAGUUUAAGCAACAAAUCUGUUUUUUACAGAAAAAGCUUCAAGGGAGCCAGGCAAAAAGAGGGGGCACUGUUCUUGGCUGAGUCUGAGAUGCUGCUCUCUUCAGGGCAGCAGUGGAUCCUGACGGAUCAGGCAGAGGCCUGGAGCAGAGAUCCGGAACCCAUGGAUUUUACAUGGAACACGACACAGAAGACAGCAGCGGGCAAAAGUAGGUUUACAGAUUCUGUGACUCACCACUGACUGAGUCAAACUACAUUACUGGACCACUGAGGAAACAGACAUGUAACCGGAAGACGGAAGUUUGAGGGUUUCUUCAAGCUUCUGAACCUGGCAUGA